UACGAACUGUGCAAACGUUAUUCGGAAUCACUGGGCUUAAAGGGUGCGUAGGCGGCUUGUUAAGUAGGGUGUGAAAUCCCCCGGCUCAACCGGGGAAUUGCGCUCUAAACUGGCGAGCUGGAGUGAGAUAGGGGUGUGUGGAACUUCCAGUGGAGCGGUGAAAUGUGUUGAUAUUGGAAGGAACGCCAGUGGCGAAAGCGACACACUGGGUCUCAACUGACGCUGAGGCACGAAAGCCAGGGGAGCAAACGGG
rnacentral:rRNA from 1 species